UGAACGCUAGCGGCAGGCUUCAUACAUGCAAGUCGAGGGGCAGCAUAAAUUACUUGUAAUUUGAUGGCGACCGGCGAACGGGUGCGUAACGCGUAUGCAACUUACCUUUUACUAGAGAAUAGCCAAGAGAAAUUUUGAUUAAUGCUCUAUACACUUAUUAAUUCUCAUGAAUCUAUAAGAAAAGCUCCGGCGGUAAAAGAUGGGCAUGCGUCCUAUUAGCUUGUAGGUGAGGUAACGGCUCACCUAAGCUCCGAUAGGUAGGGGUCCUGAGAGGGAGAUCCCCCACACUGGUACUGAGACACGGACCAGACUUCUACGGAAGGCAGCAGUAAGGAAUAUUGGACAAUGGAGGCAACUCUGAUCCAGCCAUGCCGCGUGAAGGAAGACGGCCUUAUGGGUUGUAAACUUCUUUUAUACAGGAAGAAACCUUUCCACGUGGGAAAGCUGACGGUACUGUAAGAAUAAGGAUCGG
rnacentral:rRNA from 1 species